AGCAGCCGCGGUAAUUCCAGCUCCAAUAGCGUAUAUUAAAGUUGUUGCAGUUAAAAAGCUCGUAGUUGAAUUUCGGGGUCAGUAGGUUGGUCGUGCCACUGGUAUGUACUGGCUUCACUGAUUCCUCCCUCUUGUAGAACCGUAAUGCCAUUAAUUUGGUGUUGCGGGGAAACAGGACUGUUACUUUGAAAAAAUUAGAGUGUUUAAAGCAGGCUAACGCUUGAAUACAUUAGCAUGGAAUAAUGAAAUAGGACGUUUGAUCCUAUUUUGUUGGUUUCUAGGAUUGACGUAAUGAUUAAUAGGGAUAGUUGGGGGCAUUAGUAUUCAAUUGUCAGAGGUGAAAUUCUUGGAUUUAUUGAAGACUAACUACUGCGAAAGCAUUUGCCAAGGAUGUUUUCAUUAAUCAAGAACGAAAGUUAGGGGAUCGAAGACGAUCAGAUACCGUCGUAGUCUUAACCAUAAACUAUGCCGACUAGGGAUCGGAUGAUGUUAAUUUUUUAAUGACUCAUUCGGCGCCUUA
rnacentral:rRNA from 1 species